AUGGACUGGACCUGGAGGAUCCUCCUCUUGGUGGCAGCAGCAACAGGCGCCCACUCUGAGGUACAGCUGGUGCAGUCUGGGGCUGAGGUGAAGAAGCCUGGGGCCACCGUGAAAAUCUCCUGCAAGGCUUCUGGAUACACCUUCACCGACUACUACCUGCACUGGGUGCGACAGGCCCCUGGAAAAGGGCUUGAGUGGAUGGGACGUGUUGAUCCUGAAGAUGGUGAAGCAGACUACGCACAGAAGUUCCAGGACAGACUCACCAUGACUGCGGACACGUCUACAGACACAGCCUACAUGGAGCUGAGCAGCCUGAGAUCUGAGGACACGGCCGUGUAUUACUGUACGAGAGACACAGUGUGA